GUACCUGUGCAGACUGCUGAGCUCACCUAAGCCUCGCACAGCUGUGGGGACACUGCCCUCAUCCUCCCUGGUUUGUCUGGCAGGUUGACCAUUGCCUUCGCUAUCACGCACUCUUGCUGCCUGUCAGCAGAAGAUGGACACCCAAACAAAGUGGCUUGAUUUUAUCUGCAAGACUUGCAACGCGUCUAGAGGACACUGAGAAGGGAGACUGCAACAAAUUGAAGUAGGGGAAUGAGGAAGAGAAUGAAAUAACAAACAGCAAGAAUUGAAGUAAAACUGGAAGAGGAAGAAAAGUAGCAGCAGCAAGAGAUUAACAGGAAGUGCCUGGCAGAGAAAAAGGCAGGAACUGAGAUAUUUAAAGGAAUUCAUUCACAGACAAAAUUCGAUUAGAGAACAAGAGGCCCACCUCCAAUACUCCCAGUGCAGCAAUGAAGCACAACGCAGUUCCUGAGCACAAGCCUCCCUUCGACAGCUGUCUCCCCUGGUUGCCAACAGCCCCACACUUACUUUAUCCACUAUGCAGGGGGAAGAGAAGAAUAUAAUCAAGAGUGCCACAAGAAAGGUCAGAAUAUCACACAGCUCAACAAGCCCCAGAGCACAGCCCACAGCAGAGUUGCCAGUCUGAGCAGAUGAAAACCAAGCAAUUUUACAGCUGGGUGAAAACAGAUACAGCCAGCUCAGGGGAGCAAACCUGGUAGGCAGAAUUCCAGCACCAGCAACAGUUCCACCACAGCUUCAGACUCUUGACAUGGAGAAGGUCAUGGUGGAAACGAACCUGACCCCAUGGGAAAUACUGCUGGUCAUUUUUGCUGCCGUGCUGAUAAUGAGUUUUCUCAUGUUUCUGCCCCCUGCUGCGGUGGUGAUCUGGAGAAUGAAGCAUGUGCCGCAGAUCUCACUGCAUGGCUCAGUGUGAGCAAGACAUGGUACAAGCUGUACCACCACCAAUGCCUUUAAAGGAUGGUUCAGAAUGACAACAUCUCUCAGGUUCAGGCACUUUUACUGCCUAGGAUCCAUCCAAAAGGAAUGGGUGUCCUGGUCUGUUGCUGCUAAGUUCCUGUGAAAAGAGAGUGUGUAUAAUUUUGUCGUCAUGUACUACAGUUCUCAGCACUUUGCCUUCCAUUUUUUGGCUAUGUUGUAAUCACUGUUGUUGGCUUAGUUCCUAGGCUGACUCUUCUCUUGCAUUGUAAUGGACUGAAAACAAGACUGAAAGAGAAGCGAGCAUAAUACAGCAUUGUUUUCCCUUAACUAAUAUCUGGAAAGACUCCUUUUCUAUAGUUACACAGUAAAUAUCACCAAAGCCUUUAGCUGAGAUGACUGCUAGCUCUGCAGGUGUACAUACCAAAAGCAUACAGUGUAUUCUGGGGAGGCAGUGCUUUACUCUGGUUGUAACUUGAAAUGUAAAAAACCUGAAGAGAAUGUCACAAUAAAUAAGCAUCUUGCAUUUCUUUUAUCUGAUCUGAAAA